CCGAACAGUCAGACCUCCCCUGUGUGAAGUGUGCCUUCAAUUACCCAUUGCAACAAUUUUUGCGAAUGGGUAAUUAACAAGCUAUGCAGUAGGUCCUUUGUUCUUGGGGUGGCCGCCAUUCGGGAAACGAACACGUGGCGGCGGCCAUUUUAAAACUGCGGUGUUUUGCCGUCGAGUGUCUGGAACCCAAAUCGGCACUCGACUAGGCGAACACCGCUGAGACCUCCACAAGCCCGGUCCGUUUGGUUCUAAACUACCGAACGGCCCCUCGUUCGGUAGACAGAAACAACCCAACGAGGGGAUUCAUGCGAACACUACCUGAUCUCUGUAGCCUUAGCCUUUCGUGCCAUUUAUUCCCUUAUACUGUGACCGACCGCAGGGCCCCAUCACAUGGAACCCAAUUCGGCUGUUCUCUCCAGCGCGGUCGGUCUUUUUAGUACCUCCAUGAAAUUCCUGAAAACCCCUGGUUCGAUCUGGGUGAUUUUUGGAUAUGUUGCUCACCCAGAUCAGGG